rnacentral:rRNA from 1 species
GACGAACGCUGGCGGCGUGCUUAACACAUGCAAGUCGAACGGAAAGGCCCUGCCUUUGGGGGGUGCUCGAGUGGCGAACGGGUGAGUAACACGUGAGUUACCUGCCCUUGCCUUUGGGAUAACUUCAGGAAACUGGGGCUAAUACCGGAUAGGAGCUCCUGCUGCAUGGUGGGGGCUGGAAAGUUUCGGCGGUUGGGGAUGGACUCGCGGCUUAUGAGCUUGUUGCAGGGGUAGUGGCUUACCAUGGCUUUGAAAGGUAGCCGUCCUGAGAGGGUAACCUGCCACGUUGGGAUUGAGCUACGGCACGGACUACUACGGGACGCGAGGGAGCGGUAUAUUGCACAAUGGGCUGAAGCAAAAUGUAGCAACGCCGCGUGGGGGAUGACGUCAAUCGGGUAGUGUUCCACUGCCGUCUGUCACGAGGCGUGAAUGACAGUACCGGGUGAAUAAGCACCGGCUAACUACGUG